rnacentral:rRNA from 1 species
UACCUAAUGAAUAAGCUCCGGCUAACUACGUGCCAGCAGCCGCGGUAAUACGUAGGGAGCAAGCGUUGUCCGGAUUUACUGGGUGUAAAGGGUGUGCAGCCGGGCAUGCAAGUCAGAUGUGAAAUCUCUGGGCUCAACCCAUAAGCUGCAUUUGAAACUGUAGAUCUUGAGUGCAGUAGAGGCAGUCGGAAUUCCCUGUGUAGCGGUGAAAUGCGUAGAGAUGAGGAGGAACACCAGUGGCGAAGGCGGCUUGCUGGGCGGUAACUGACGGUGAGGCGCGAAAGCGUGGGGAGCGAACAGGAUUAGAUACCCUGGUAGUCCACGCUGUAAACGAUGAUUACUAGGUGUGCGGGGUCUGACCCCUUCCGUGCCGCAGUUAACACAAUAAGUAUUCCACCUGGGGAGUACGAUCGCAAGGUUGAAACUCAAAGGAAUUGACGGGGGCCCGCACAAGCAGUGGAGUAUGUGGUUUAAUUCGAAGCAACGCGAAGAACCUUACCAGGUCUUGACAUCCAACUAACGAAGUAGAGAUACAUUAGGUGCCCUUCGGGGAAAGCAGAGACAGGUGGUGCAUGGUUGUCGUCAGCUCGUGUCGUGAGAUGUUGGGUUAAGUCCCGCAACGAGCGCAACCCUUAUUAUUAGUUGCUACGCAAGAGCACUCUAAUGAGACUGCCGUUGACAAAACGGAGGAAGGUGGGGACGACGUCAAAUCAUCAUGCCCCUUAUGACCUGGGCUACACACGUAAUACAAUGGAGGUCAACAGAGGGAAGCAAAACAGCGGGGCAGGAGCGAACCCCAAAAAACAGUCUCAGUUCAGAUUGCAGGCUGCAACCCGCCUGCAUGAAGUUGGAAUUGCUAGUAAUCGUGGAUCAGCAUACCGCGGUGAAUACGUUCCCGGGCCUUGCACA